GUUACCCUACGGGGCGCAGCAGUAGGGAAUUUUCGUCAAUGGGCGCAAGCCUGAACGAGCGAUGCCGCGUGAGUGAAGGAGGCCUUCGGGUCGUAAAGCUCUGUUGCGGGGGAAAAAAGGCAGCAUCAGGAAAUGGGUGCUGACUGAUGGUGCCCCGCCAGAAAGUCACGGCUACCUACGUGCCAGCAGCCGCGGUAAUACGUAGGUGGCGAGCGUUAUCCGGACUGAUUGGGCG
rnacentral:rRNA from 1 species